AGUUUUUCCCUCUCAGCCUUGUGAAUUCUCUUGGGAACUUUCCUUUUAUUCUUACCAGGGCAACUCCUUUUUCCAGUAGUCUCUACUGCUACAUUCACCUCAUCAGCCGCGGAANNCGUCAGAACCCAUGCUUAUCCCAAUAACUUGAAUCUGUCAACGCAGAACCCCACCUUGAAAAUUAAAGUAGGCCAAGCACUUAAAAGAAGGAAUAAUUAGAUUUAAA
rnacentral:misc_RNA from 1 species